rnacentral:lncRNA from 1 species
CUUUUGUUAAAAUUAUUUUUGUUUGAUUUAUAAUGACUUCUGAAAGAAUGAUAUUGAGUGACCCAGACUAUCAAUAAAGAUAAUUAUUUUUUUAAAAACUGCAGCGGUGGUUUUGCCCCGCCCACAUUGUUGCUACGGUUUCCUCUGGAAUCUGUUGUACUGCUUAUAAACACCUGUGGUUCCAUUUUUAGCAUGAGGAUUCCAUCCAGAAUGUCUACACAAGGUAAAUGCAUGUAUCUAAGGGAAUCAGAUGUUACUAUGUUUUUUCUUUGUGGCCAGCAACCCCUGUCUCCCUCCCCAAAAGAAGUUACAAGGUCUGAGUAUUUUUAUUCUGGAAAAAUACCAAGAUUGUCAGUGUUCUUCUGUUGGGUCAGAGGAGAAGACAUGACUGGGAAAGGACAUCAGCAGGACGUGUCAUGGCCCCAUCAGCCACAAGUACCACCUGGAAGUGGAACAUGUCUCCACACCUAUGACACUCUCCUAGUGAUCUUGCCACUCAUUGAGAAAGACUGUAUCCAUGGUGAUCAGGAGAGUAACAAGUGGGAAACUUUCUCAACUGGAACGGAGCCCAUUUCUCCCCCUGGACAACAGUUCUGAUGCUAAUCACGGCAAGGCCCCAGCAGCCUCUUGAAGCGCCACGGAGCAAUCCAUGUUCAACUGUGACCAGAAUUCCAAACGUAGAAAGUAAAAGGUAAUGUUUCCAAAUAACUCAUCAAGAAAUGUUUUCACACGAGCACAGGCCAAUUUGAGCAUCUCUUAAAGAUGUGACAUUGCAGUUACGUUCAUUCCUGUUCUUCCUUCCUUUCUCCCUUCUUGUACUGGUUUGCACAUUCCUGUGAUUCUUGGCAUUAAUAUUCAUUGCUGAUAUUACAAAAUCUGAUUUUCAUAUAUUGAAGAAAAUAUGGCGGUUGCCUUCAAAGGACUCAUAGGUGAAUUGAAACAGUGGCAGAGGACCUAGGGCCUGGGCGUCAGAAUUGGCGCACCUGUUUUUGAAUGGCCUGUGAGCUAUGGAUGCAUUUACAUUUUUAAAAAAUUUUUUUUAAUGUUUAUUUAUUUUUCAGACAGAGAGAGACAGAGCAUGAACGGGGGACAGUCAGAGAGAGAGGGAGACAGAGAAUCCGAAGCAGGCUCCAGGCUCUGAGCUGUCAGCACAGAGCCUGACACGGGGUUCAAACUCAACGAAUGGCGAGAUCAUGACCUGAGCCGAAGUCGGACGCUGAACCGACUGAGCCACCCAGGCGCCCCUGCAUUUACAUUUUUAAAUGAUUGUGGGAAGGGCACCCCGGUGGCUCAGCUGGUUAAGCAUCUGACUCUUUUUUUCAGCUCAGGUCAUGAUCCCAGGGUCUUAGGAUCAAGCCCCAAUUGGGGCUUCAUGCUGAGUAUGGAGCCUGCUCAAGAUUCUCUCUCUUUCUCUCUCCCUCUGCCCCUCCCCCCAAAUACUAAGCAAAAAUAAAUCAGUGAUUAGGGAGAAAUCA